rnacentral:lncRNA from 1 species
GAGCAAUUUGUCAUAGAAUCUGGGGGGCUCAUUUUUCCGGCCAAUCACUUUUAGAGAAAUGAGCGCAUUGCAGCAGAAUGCGCUGACGUCAGAGACCACCCCCUCUGCGCAUCCAUAUAAACCCCACCCAGCCAGCCCCUGGCGCAGACGGCGGCGAGCUGGAUGGAGCGCGCGCGGGCUCACCAGCCUGGCGCAGCUCCUCCGAAGAGUCGGGGCGCCCACGCGAGCCUUCCCGCCUGGGGUGCCUCUUCCGCGAUGACGUCAUGGACUCACCCACGUCCUCCGGGACCACCUCCCCUGGAUGCCAAGCCGCUGCGAGGUGCUGCCGCCUGCCUCCUCAUCACGGUCUUCAUUUGCAUAUGGCCCCAAGAGCCAGGCUUCCAGGACCCCACCGACCUAGCAAGCAGCCACCAGCAGACCCCCGCGUGCAGCCCCUGGAAGGACGGGAUGAAGACCCCGGGGCCUGGCCAGCAGCUGUCCCUCGGGGCUAAAGACUUCAACCAGUGCCCUAACUCCGACAGCCCCUGUUACGGGGUCUCCUUGCACCAGCAGGGGCGCCCCAGAGACACCGGCCAGAGGGCAGACCUGAGUAAGAUCGUGAAUAUGCACAGACUCAUUUCCAGAGCACUUUCUACAUCACACGAGUGCACAGUUCCUACGGGACCUCCCCAUGUCACGAGUCGGCCUUCCUCGCAGGCCAGGGUGAAUUUGGUCUUGAUUUGCUUAAUUUGAAAAAG